rnacentral:lncRNA from 1 species
CUCUCUUGUCUUUCAACCCUUGCUCUUGCCUCGGCUUCGCCUUCCACCUUAUUAAGCUUUGGACUUCCACCUUCACUAACCCGUGGGACGGGACCGACCUUCUCUUUUGUUUGUAAUUGGACUUGCCCGAAACAAAGGAACCUUGGCGUGAGAACCCUCUAGAUUAGGGAGAUCCAAAUAAGAGCUUGUUGCAUAUGCGUAGGAAACCACCCCAUGCGGUGUGAGAAAAGCCCACUUGACUUCGGAAUGCCAACCUCCCUUAGCUUAGCCCUUUACGACCUUUUCCGCCUUCUCACUGCCAUUCAUCGGAUAAGACUACGUCACCUAAAUCAAGGUGUGAAACACCUUCUCACUGCCAUUCACCGGAUAAGACUACGUCACCUAAAUUGAGAAAAAAGAGGAAGACAUUUCUCAUUGUUGGCUAGCCUGGGCUCCACACCAGAUUUUAUCUGAGAUGGAGAGAAUUCUUUAGUAAAGGCAUGGCUUAAGACAAUUCGGGAUAGGAGGUUUUUCUACUACUAUUACAGCUCGUACAACCUUGAGGAAUCUAGACUAGUGUAAUAAGUUACUAGCCUCGUGCUACUCCUCCACAGAAGACUUUCUAGAAUAGCUACGACCUUUUCUCUUCAUUUUCCUUUGCCAAAUAAAUCCCACGUAUGAAGCUCUCGGAUUACGUACGAAUCAAUUAAACAAGCCAAACCAAAGGCUUUUUUCAAAAGCAUCAGUAGACGCAGAAAGAGAUCCUAUUCCCUAAGGCCUUUGUUAUCGCUUUAAACUUCCCUAUUUCCCAUAGGAAGCCCAUCUUCAAAGCUACUUUCUCAACAAGCUCUAGCUCUAGGGCUUUGUAAAAACUCUCUUCUUUAUCAUACGAUACGAGGCAUCCAAAUCUGCAUUCCCAUC